AACGAACGCUGGCGGCAUGCCUAACACAUGCAAGUCGAACGAGACCUUCGGGUCUAGUGGCGCACGGCUGCGUAACGCGUGGGAACCUGCCCUUAGGUUCGGAAUAACUCCCCGAAAGGGGUGCCAAUACCGGAUAAUGUCUUCGGACCAAAGAUUUAUCGCCUUUGGAUGGGCCCGCGUUGGUUUAGCUAGUUGGUAGGGUAAAAGCCUACCAAGGCGACGAUCCAUAGCUGGUCUGAGAGGAUGAUCAGCCACACUGGGACUGAGACACGGCCCAGACUCCUACGGGAGGGAGCAGUGGGGAAUAUUGGACAAUGGGCGAAAGCCUGAUCCAGCAAUGCCGCGUGAGUGAUGAAGGCCUUAGGGUUGUAAAGCUCUUUUACCCGGGAUGAUAAUGACAGUACCGGGAGAAUAAGCUCCGGCUAACUCCGUG
rnacentral:rRNA from 1 species